rnacentral:tRNA from 1 species
GGUGGCUCAGUGGCAGAGUGCUUGCCUUGCAUGCAUGAGGCCUUGGGUUCGAUUCCUCAGCACCA